UCGGGUGGGGAUUAGUGGCGAACGGGUGAGUAACACGUGGGCAAUCUGCCCUGCACUCUGGGACAAGCCCUGGAAACGGGGUCUAAUACCGGAUACUGACCUGCCAAGGCAUCUUGGCGGGUCGAAAGCUCCGGCGGUGCAGGAUGAGCCCGCGGCCUAUCAGCUUGUUGGUGAGGUAAUGGCUCACCAAGGCGACGACGGGUAGCCGGCCUGAGAGGGCGACCGGCCACACUGGGACUGAGACACGGCCCAGACUCCUACGGGAGGCAGCAGUGGGGAAUAUUGCACAAUGGGCGAAAGCCUGAUGCAGCGACGCCGCGUGAGGGAUGACGGCCUUCGGGUUGUAAACCUCUUUCAGCAGGGAAGAAGCGAAAGUGACGGUACCUGCAGAAGAAGCGCCGGCUAACUACGUGCCAGCAGCCGCGGUAAUACGUAGGGCGCAAGCGUUGUCCGGAAUUAUUGGGCGUAAAGAGCUCGUAGGCGGCUUGUCGCGUCGGUUGUGAAAGCCCGGGGCUUAACCCCGGGUCUGCAGUCGAUACGGGCAGGCUAGAGUUCGGUAGGGGAGAUCGGAAUUCCUGGUGUAGCGGUGAAAUGCGCAGAUAUCACGAGGAACACCGGUGGCGAAGCGGAUCUCUGGGCCGAUACUGACGCUGAGGAGCGAAAGCGUGGGGAGCGAACAGGAUUAGAUACCCUGGUAGUCCACGCCGUAACGGUGGGCACUAGGUGUGGGCAACAUUCCACGUU
rnacentral:rRNA from 1 species